GACGAACGCUGGCGGCGUGCUUAACACAUGCAAGUCGAACGGAAAGGCCCUGCUUUUGUGGGGUGCUCGAGUGGCGAACGGGUGAGUAACACGUGAGUAACCUGCCCUUGACUUUGGGAUAACUUCAGGAAACUGGGGCUAAUACCGGAUAGGAGCUCCUGCUGCAUGGUGGGGGUUGGAAAGUUUCGGCGGUUGGGGAUGGACUCGCGGCUUAUCAGCUUGUUGGUGGGGUAGUGGCUUACCAAGGCUUUGACGGGUAGCCGGCCUGAGAGGGUGACCGGCCACAUUGGGACUGAGAUACGGCCAAGACUCCUACGGGAGGAAGCAGUGGGGAAUAUUGCACAAUGGGCGGAAGCCGGAUGCAGCAACGCCGCGUGCGGGAUGACGGCCUUCGGGUUGUAAACCGCUUUCGCCUGUGACGAAGCGUGAGUGACGGUAAUGGGUAAAGAAGCACCGGCUAACUACGUG
rnacentral:rRNA from 1 species